UCCGGUUGAUCCUGCCGGAGGCCACUGCUAUGGGGGUCCGACUAAGCCAUGCGAGUCAUGGGGCGCGCUCUGCGCGCACCGGCGGACGGCUCAGUAACACGUCGGUAACCUACCCUCGGGAGGGGGAUAACCCCGGGAAACUGGGGCUAAUCCCCCAUAGGCCUGGGGUACUGGAAGGUCCCCAGGCCGAAAGGGCGUAAGCCGCCCGAGGAUGGGCCGGCGGCCGAUUAGGUAGUUGGUGGGGUAACGGCCCACCAAGCCGAAGAUCGGUACGGGCCAUGAGAGUGGGAGCCCGGAGAUGGACACUGAGACACGGGUCCAGGCCCUACGGGGCGCAGCAGGCGCGAAACCUCCGCAAUGCGGGCAACCGCGACGGGGGGACCCCCAGUGCCGUGGCACAGCCACGGCUUUUCCGGAGUGUAAAAAGCUCCGGGAAUAAGGGCUGGGCAAGGCCGGUGGCAGCCGCCGCGGUAAUACCGGCGGCCCAAGUGGUGGCCGCUAUUAUUGGGCCUAAAGCGUCCGUAGCCGGGCCCGUAAGUCCCUGGCGAAAUCCCACGGCUCAACCGUGGGGCUUGCUGGGGAUACUGCGGGCCUUGGGACCGGGAGAGGCCGGGGGUACCCCUGGGGUAGGGGUGAAAUCCUGUAAUCCCAGGGGGACCGCCAGUGGCGAAGGCGCCCGGCUGGAACGGGUCCGACGGUGAGGGACGAAGGCCAGGGGAGCGAACCGGAUUAGAUACCCGGGUAGUCCUGGCUGUAAAGGAUGCGGGCUAGGUGUCGGGCGAGCUUCGAGCUCGCCCGGUGCCGAAGGGAAGCCGUUAAGCCCGCCGCCUGGGGAGUACGGCCGCAAGGCUGAAACUUAAAGGAAUUGGCGGGGGAGCACUACAAGGGGUGGAGCGUGCGGUUUAAUUGGAUUCAACGCCGGGAACCUCACCGGGGGCGACGGCAGGAUGAAGGCCAGGCUGAAGGUCUUGCCGGACGCGCCGAGAGGAGGUGCAUGGCCGCCGUCAGCUCGUACCGUGAGGCGUCCACUUAAGUGUGGUAACGAGCGAGACCCGCGCCCCCAGUUGCCAGUCCUCCCCGCUGGGGAGGAGGCACUCUGGGGGGACCGCCGGCGAUAAGCCGGAGGAAGGAGCGGGCGACGGUAGGUCAGUAUGCCCCGAAACCCCCGGGCUACACGCGCGCUACAAUGGGCGGGACAAUGGGAUCCGACCCCGAAAGGGGAAGGGAAUCCCCUAAACCCGCCCUCAGUUCGGAUCGCGGGCUGCAACUCGCCCGCGUGAAGCUGGAAUCCCUAGUACCCGCGUGUCAUCAUCGCGCGGCGAAUACG
rnacentral:rRNA from 1 species